GACGAACGCUGGCGGCGUGCUUAACACAUGCAAGUCGAACGGAAAGGCCCUGCUUGCAGGGUACUCGCGUGGCGAACGGGCGAGUAACACGUGGGUGAUCUGCCCUGCACUUCGGGAUAAGCCUGGGAAACUGGGUCUAACACCGGAUAGGAGCCAUUUUUAGUGUGAUGGUUGGAAAGUUUUUUCGGUGUAGGAUGUGCUGGGGGCCUAUCAGCUUGUUGGUGGGGUAAUGGCCUACCAAGGCGGCGACGGGUAGCCGGCCUGAGAGGGUGGACGGCCACAUUGGGGCCGAGAUGCGGCCCAGACACCUACGGGAGGCAGCAGGGGGGAAUAUUGCACGAGGGGCGCAAGCCUGAUGCAGCGACGCCGCGGGGGGGAUGACGGCCUUCGGGGUGUAAACUCCUUGCGCUAGGGACGAAGCUUUUUGUGACGGUACCUAGUUAAGAAGCACCGGCUAACUACGUG
rnacentral:rRNA from 1 species